rnacentral:rRNA from 1 species
UUCGAUUGGCGGCUCGUGAUUGGUCACGGCGGAAUGCUUGACAUGCAAAGUCAAAGAAUGGCGGUGACUUAAUUUCCGGUCUGUGGCGAGUGGCGAACGGGUGAGUAAUGUAUCGGAACGUGCCAGUGGGGAUAAUCUCACAUGGUAGCUACUGCUAUCAGCCCUUCGGGGGAAAGCGGGGACUCGGGCCUCGCACUAGAGCGCUGAUAUCGGAUUGGGCUAGCUGGUGGGGUAACGGCUCACCAUGACGAUCCGUAGCUGGUUUGAGAGGGACGACCAGCCACACUGGGACUGAGACACGGCCCAGACUCUACGGGAGGCAGCAGUGGGGAAUUCUUGGACAAUGGGGGAAACCCCCCGAUCCAGCCAUCCGCGGUGAUGAAGAGUUCGGGUUGUAAAGCACCUUGGCAGGAAAGAAACGGCACGGAUAAUACCCGUGCAACUGACGGUACCUGCAGAACAAGCACCGGCUAACUACGUGCCAGAAGCAGCCGCGGUAAUACGUAGGUGCAAGCGUUAAUCGGAAUUACUGGGCGUAAAGCGUGGCAGGCGGUUCGAAAGAAAGAUGUGAAAUCCCAGAUUAACUUUGGAACUGCAUUUUUAACUACCGAGCUAGAGGUGGCCGAGGGAGGUGGAAUUCCGCGUGUAGCAGUGAAAUGCGUAGAUAUGAGGAACACCGAUGGCGAAGGCAGCCUUCCUGACAUAACACUGACGCUCAUGCAACGAAAGCGUGGGGGGAGUAAACAGGAUUAGAUACCCGGUAGUCCAUCAAUGAUGUCAACUAGCUGUUGGGGCUUCCUCGGGCCUUGGUAGCGCAGGCUAGUGAAGUUGACCGCCUUGGGCAUACGGUCGCAAGAUUAAAACUCAAAGGAAUUGACGGGGACCCGCACAAGCGGUGGAUGAUGUGGAUUAAUUCGAUGCAACGCGAAAACUCCACUUACCUUGACAUGUCUGGAAUCCCGAAGAGAUUUGGGAGUGCUCGCAAGAGAACCGGAACACAGGUGCUGCAUGGCUGUCGUCAGCUCGUGUCGUGAGAUGUUGGUUAAGUCCCGCAACGAGCGCAACCCUGUCAUUAGUUGCUACGAAAGGGCACUCUAUCGAGACUGCCGGUGACAAACCGGAGGAAGGUGGGGAUGAUGUCAAGUCCUCAUGGCCCUUGCGGUAGGCUUCACACGUCAUACAAUGGUCGGGACAGAGGGUCGCCAACCCGCGAGGGGGAGCCAAUCCCAGAAACCCGGAUCAGUCCGGAUCGUGUAGUCUGCAACUCGACUGCGUGAAGUCGGAAUCGCUAGUAAUCGCGAUCAGCAUGUCGCGGUGAAUACGUUCUGGUCUUGUACACACUACCGUCACACCAUGGGAGUGGGUUUCACUUGUGAAGUAGUUAGUCAACCGGGUGAGGGCGAUUCACGGUAGGAUUCAUGACUGGGGUAGUCGUAACAAGGUAG